rnacentral:rRNA from 1 species
UACGUAGGGCGCUAGCGUUGUCCGGAAUUAUUGGGCGUAAAGAGCUCGUAGGCGGCUUGUCACGUCGGGUGUGAAAGCCCGGGGCUUAACCCCGGGUCUGCAUUCGAUACGGGCUAGCUAGAGUGUGGUAGGGGAGAUCGGAAUUCCUGGUGUAGCGGUGAAAUGCGCAGAUAUCCGGAGGAACACCGGUGGCGAAGGCGGAUCUCUGGGCCAUUACUGACGCUGAGGAGCGAAAGCGUGGGUAGCAAACAGG